UAGGUGGCGAGCGUUGUCCGGAUUUACUGGGUGUAAAGGGCGAGUAGGCGGAUGAGCAAGUCAGAUGUGAAAUACCGGGGCUUAACCCCGGGGCUGCAUUUGAAACUGCUUAUCUUGAGUGAUGGAGAGGCAGGCGGAAUUCCCGGUGUAGCGGUGGAAUGCGUAGAUAUCGGGAGGAACACCAGUGGCGAAGGCGGCCUGCUGGACAUUAACUGACGCUGAUGAGCGAAAGCGUGGGGAGCAAACAGGA
rnacentral:rRNA from 1 species